rnacentral:rRNA from 1 species
GGGACACGUGGUAUCCUGUCUGAAUAUGGGGGGACCAUCCUCCAAGGCUAAAUACUCCUGACUGACCGAUAGUGAACCAGUACCGUGAGGGAAAGGCGAAAAGAACCCCGGCGAGGGGAGUGAAAAAGAACCUGAAACCGUGUACGUACAAGCAGUGGGAGCCUCUUAAUGGGGUGACUGCGUACCUUUUGUAUAAUGGGUCAGCGACUUAUAUUCUGUAGCAAGGUUAACCGAAUAGGGGAGCCGAAGGGAAACCGAGUCUUAACUGGGCGUUAAGUUGCAGGGUAUAGACCCGAAACCCGGUGAUCUAGCCAUGGGCAGGUUGAAGGUUGGGUAACACUAACUGGAGGACCGAACCGACUAAUGUUGAAAAAUUAGCGGAUGACUUGUGGCUGGGGGUGAAAGGCCAAUCAAACCGGGAGAUAGCUGGUUCUCCCCGAAAGCUAUUUAGGUAGCGCCUCGUGAAUUCAUCUCCGGGGGUAGAGCACUGUUUCGGCAAGGGGGUCAUCCCGACUUACCAACCCGAUGCAAACUGCGAAUACCGGAGAAUGUUAUCACGGGAGACACACGGCGGGUGCUAACGUCCGUCGUGAAGAGGGAAACAACCCAGACCGCCAGCUAAGGUCCCAAAGUCAUGGUUAAGUGGGAAACGAUGUGGGAAGGCCCAGACAGCCAGGAUGUUGGCUUAGAAGCAGCCAUCAUUUAAAGAAAGCGUAAUAGCUCACUGGUCGAGUCGGCCUGCGCGGAAGAUGUAACGGGGCUAAACCAUGCACCGAAGCUGCGGCAGCGACACUAUGUGUUGUUGGGUAGGGGAGCGUUCUGUAAGCCUGUGAAGGUGGCCUGUGAGGGUUGCUGGAGGUAUCAGAAGUGCGAAUGCUGACAUAAGUAACGAUAAAGCGGGUGAAAAGCCCGCUCGCCGGAAGACCAAGGGUUCCUGUCCAACGUUAAUCGGGGCAGGGUGAGUCGACCCCUAAGGCGAGGCCGAAAGGCGUAGUCGAUGGGAAACAGGUUAAUAUUCCUGUACUUGGUGUUACUGCGAAGGGGGGACGGAGAAGGCUAUGUUGGCCGGGCGACGGUUGUCCCGGUUUAAGCGUGUAGGCUGGUUUUCCAGGCAAAUCCGGAAAACCAAGGCUGAGGC